rnacentral:tRNA from 1 species
GCGCCGAUAGUCUAGUGGCAUGAUAGUGGCCUUCCAAGCCGCGGGCCCGGGUUCAAUUCCCGGUCGGCGCA